UACGAAGGGGGCUAGCGUUGUUCGGAAUUACUGGGCGUAAAGCGCACGUAGGCGGAUCUUUAAGUCAGGGGUGAAAUCCCAAGGCUCAACCUUGGAACUGCCUUUGAUACUGGGGAUCUCGAGUCCGGAAGAGGUUGGUGGAACUGCGAGUGUAGAGGUGAAAUUCGUAGAUAUUCGCAAGAACACCAGUGGCGAAGGCGGCCAACUGGUCCGGUACUGACGCUGAGGUGCGAAAGCGUGGGGAGCAAACAGGG
rnacentral:rRNA from 1 species